rnacentral:piRNA from 1 species
UUAUGUUAAAAGAAAAGUUCUCCAUAAAG